AGCGGUAAAUGGAGUAAGAAGUGAAGUAAGCGGGGGUUGGGAAGAGGAGCUGCCGUGGUGGUUGGGUGUUGGAAGAUUGAAAUGUUUUAGAAUUAAAAUGCCUUGGGAAAGAAGAACUAUGUUUUGUUGUGGUGCAGAUUACAUCCUUCUCAUGUGAGAGAAGAUGACAGCAAUGCUCAGCCAAGGCUGCUGAGGACAGUGGGAGACUGAAGUCACCGUUGUCCUCCUGGGAACCAACUGGUGUGAGGGAUGAUUCAGCAGCCAAUGGGUAUGAAAGAUUGAGGAAGAUAGAGGGGAAACCAGCAGCUCUUCCUGGGAAGACUAAUAGCUGUAGCAGCAGAGAUCUGUCAUAUCUUCACAACUGCCCUGGUUUACAGCACAGUCCCCAUCUGCUGCAUGUAAAGAAGGCAACGUCAGCCAUAAAAUAUUGGAAGUCUGACUCCAGCACAAAGAUCCCUGACAAUUUAAUAAGAAUUCCUUGUGAUGCUUCACCAGCUCUUUCAUGGCUUUGACACAAUGCCUCGGGCAGAAUGGAUUAGAUGGGCUCACGGGCACUUUCCAAGAGGGAAUUGCACUGGCCAAUGUGUGAGAGUCAACCUACCAUCCCACUUCAUCAUCGCGGACUGAUGCCUUGCAUCCUGUAAAGUGAGGCUAACCUCGUACUCCCCGACCCCUUAUUUUCUGUGAGACAAGACAGAGGAUGUUACCGAUGCCUCCUUGAAUGUCUGACACAUAAUUCUUAAUGGGACAUUGUGUUUAAUAAAUGCAUGGCUGUGUUGCUUGUAUAGGAAAGC
rnacentral:lncRNA from 1 species